rnacentral:rRNA from 1 species
UUCUGCACAACAUAACUGCCCAGUGAUAUUGGGGACAUGUCUUUCCACCUUCAUAAUGUAAUAUGCAUUUCCAAAAGUGUUGUUCUUGAACCGUUGAUCGAGGAGAGUUCAGACCAAGAAGAGUGCAUCAUCAAACCAAAUGAUGUCCCAGGGGGUGCAAAAUCGUUUGAGAUGGUGGCAAGAUUCUGCUAUGAAGUGAAAAUAUGACUUUCUUUUGCAAAUGUUGUCCACCUAUGUUGUGCCUAUGAGCAUCUCCAGAUGACUGAAACGACAUCUGAUAACAACUUGAUUGCAUACACAGAAAUGUUUUUCUAA